rnacentral:rRNA from 1 species
GAAGAGAGGAGCUUGCUCUUCUUGGAUGAGUUGCGAACGGGUGAGUAACGCGUAGGUAACCUGCCUUGUAGCGGGGGAUAACUAUUGGAAACGAUAGCUAAUACCGCAUAACAAUAGGUGACACAUGUCAUUUAUUUGAAAGGGGCAAUUGCUCCACUACAAGAUGGACCUGCGUUGUAUUAGCUAGUAGGUGAGGUAACGGCUCACCUAGGCGACGAUACAUAGCCGACCUGAGAGGGUGAUUGGCCACACUGGGACUGAGACACGGCCCAGACUCCUACGGGAGGCAGCAGUAGGGAAUCUUCGGCAAUGGGGGCAACCCUGACCGAGCAACGCCGCGUGAGUGAAGAAGGUUUUCGGAUCGUAAAGCUCUGUUGUAAGUCAAGAACGAGUGUGAGAGUGGAAAGUUCACACUGUGACGGUAGCUUACCAGAAAGGGACGGCUAACUACGUGCCAGCAGCCGCGGUAAUACGUAGGUCCCGAGCGUUGUCCGGAUUUAUUGGGCGUAAAGCGAGCGCAGGCGGUUUGAUAAGUCUGAAGUUAAAGGCUGUGGCUCAACCAUAGUUCGCUUUGGAAACUGUCAAACUUGAGUGCAGAAGGGGAGAGUGGAAUUCCAUGUGUAGCGGUGAAAUGCGUAGAUAUAUGGAGGAACACCGGUGGCGAAAGCGGCUCUCUGGUCUGU